CCUACGGGAGGCAGCAGUGAGGAAUAUUGGUCAAUGGGCGUAAGCCUGAACCAGCCAAGUCGCGUGAGGGACGACGGCCCUACGGGUUGUAAACCUCUUUUGCCGGGGGACAAACGGCGGCACGCGUGCCGUCCUGAGGGUACCCGGAGAAAAAGCAUCGGCUAACUCCGUGCCAGCAGCCGCGGUAAUACGGAGGAUGCGAGCGUUAUCCGGAUUUAUUGGGUUUAAAGGGUGCGUAGGCGGAAUAUCAAGUCAGCGGUAAAAAUUCGGGGCUCAACCCCGUCGUGCCGUUGAAACUGAUGUUU
rnacentral:rRNA from 1 species